GUCGGAGUCUCGGCAGCGCCGCGUUCUGCUCCUGCGGCGCAUCGCUCAUCUUCCCCGCCACCGGCUGAAGGCUGCUGGACGGCGGACUGAACCUGCGGCUGGUGCUCGGAUCUACCGGGAUGCGCAUCACAACAAUGUCAGCAAAGAUGAGCAACAGCACUCCGAGCCCAAUGGCAGCCGGACGCACAUCCGGAAAAGACCACAAGCUUCAUCCCUGAGCUCCAGAGCAUGAUGUUUGCUCGAGACCGCCGCCCUGGUGGAGGACACCCAGCUCAACAACCUCCUCCAUCAAGCCUGGGCCAUUUCACCAGAGGAUAUCAUCUUUCUAAUGAGGAAAGACUAGUUCUCUUGCUUUCCGAUCACUGGUUAGAAGACAAGAAGCAGGGCUAGGUGAUGUAAUGAAACAUCCUUUUGAGCUUUUUGAUGAUUUUACAUGGUGUUUCAGUGAAGAGGGUACAUGCAAUUCAGAGACUACAAAUCCAGAGUCCUCAAAACCAUCGAAGAUCUGCUGGAUUCAGUCUUUAGGCCACUAGCACCAAAAAGGAGGCGGACUCUCCGGAAAACACACCUGAUGGGACACCAGGGUGUGUAAGAUGCACUCCUCGGUCCAGGGCAACAGUGGGCCGAACCAAGAUGGCAGCAGAAAGAUCAAACAGAGGAAGAGGAAGAAGAGCGCGGCGGCCUGUGGCGCGGAGGCUCAGAGCAGUGCCAUCCAACCAUCCCACAUCAGAGAAGCCAUCAGGCGCUACAGCCACAAGAUCGGCCCGCUCUCCCCCUUCUCAAGUGCCUACCGCAGGAACGGGAUGACUUUCCUGGCCUGCUGAGGUGAGCGAGAGGAGGUCUGGAGGAGACUCUGUCUGCGUCUGUCUUUCCGUGUCUGCAGUGGGCCGCUCACAGACGCCAGCACAGUGGCAGCGGCCUCGCUCUAAUGAGAGCUGACAGACGUGACAGAAAGAAAAUGUCACGGCAGAGCUGAGAAAAUAAACAGCUGCACAUGAGAAACCCAAUCUGUGAGCGCCUGCUUUCUGACUCAGAAAGCAACACUCAAUAUGGGAAGAGAGAAACAUCUUCCAAACAUCUCCUUCUGAGUUGCACAGAAAACUGAAAGCUGUACGAGUUAGAAAUGACACGAUGGGCUGUCAGUUCAGACUCAGAGUGGUUGGACUGUAGAGACGAGCUGAAAUCCCAGAUCUGGAUGAGCUCCAUCAGGGACCCAGUAAAGGCUUUGAGUAAUGAACGCAGAGCUUCCUGCACCAGACUUUUAUUAGGCUGCGCUCAUGUGCACCAAGUCUCACCAUGAGCUUCAUCCGUGUCCGUGUUCAGCAGACUCGGUGGCUCCUGUCGGCCUCGGACGUCACCGACUCGUGCAGCCUGCCAGAUAAUAACCGCGCUUUAUGCACAGGUCAGUUUUCAUUCUGAUUACAAAUCAGUUGUUGUUUUAAGACAUCCCAUGCACUUCUGUGCGACUGCACACGGGGAAGAAAUAAUGAAGAACGUCGGCUCUGGUUGCGUCUGGCCUCGGGAGCGUCACGAUGCCAUGAAGUCAUCGCAAUCAUCAUGCCGUCUAGAUCCAGCGUUAGUGCUCUUUCUCAAAGCGAAGUGAGCAAUGUAAUUUCUCAAACAUUCCCAGUUGAUGUUGUUGAGCUCAUGUUUAUGACUAGUGUCUUUAAAUGUCUGAAACACAAAGCAGAUUCCUGCAUCAGCCUCAUAAAUCAUUGACUAAUACGGAGUCCCGAAGGGGGGCGGAAAGCCGCUUGGGAAAGCUGCAAAGGGCUCGUAAAAUGUGUGACUUCUUGAAAAGGGGCGGCUUUUCCCUUUCUCGUUCUGCAAGGUUUGUGCGGGUUUCCAGUAAGAGGAACGACUGGAGCUUCACACCUCAGUGGCUAAAUCAUCUGUCUUGUGCGGCUGGCAGAAGAAGAGGCUUCCUGAGCAGGUGUCUGGAGCUUCACAGGUCCGGUGUGUCGCGUCCCAAAAGAGUUCAUGAACCACAGGUUCGAGCGCAGGCUGGCAGGCGCUCCGGGUCUCGCUGUCACGUAUCAACUCCGAACAAACACGAGCAGAGCUCUUGUAAGGUCAUGUUGUCUGUUCCUAAGAAUAACCGACUGAACUGAGCAUUGUGCAGAGAAGAAUCUGGACAAGGUUUUGACGCAAGCAGUUCUCCGUGAUUCCCGAUUCAAAGCAGCGGCUGGCAGAUAGGCCCGAAAUCAGUAACUGAGAAACGGAGGAAACGGCUCAAACUUUAGAGCAGGCCGCUAGCAACGCAGAGCUCAUGGGUUCGAUUCCCAUGGAAAGCAAAGACUGAUAAAAUGUAGUGUACAUGUUAAAUGCAAUGCAAGAAAAAAGCGUCUGUCAAAUGCAUUAAUGUAUAAGAAAAUAUGACCCACUUUUUUAAUUAAGGCACAAUCAAUCCCAUAUAAAUUACUGAAUAUAUAUAUAUGUGCUAAUCUCACUUGAAUUUAAUCUUUAAAACAUUGGUUAUUAAAUAACACUGUUAAAAUUGUAAAUACCAAAUCCCAAAAUGAAUAUCCAGUUUUAUUUUGUAUGUUAUAAUGCUUUGAAAGAAUUGUAGCAUUUAAAGCAAUAGUCUUAAGAAAUAUACAGCAAAAUCGAUUUUCUUUCUUCGCAUGUUUUGUUUUUCAGUAUGUUAAUAUCUAAACAUUGAUAAAUGAAUGAUGCAUUCACUUUAAAAGCAAAAUGACUUUAGAUAAUUAGUAUUGCUUUUUGAAAAAUAUCUUCAAAAGGGGUCAAAAAAUAUGCUUGUUUUGCCUUUGAAUUACGUUUAUUUUUCUAUCCCCAUUGACAGAGAAGUGUAAACUCAACUUUGAUAUGUUUUACAUUUUUGAAGCCUUGAUAACUCAAGUCGCUUAUCAAGUAAAUGUGUCUUGAUUUAAGAAUGACAAAAGAAAGAAAAUUUUUGUGCUCUGUAGUAGCCAUUUUAAUGCACCUUUGGCCAUUUUUCACAUGGCAUGAAAACAUGGGUUCAUUAGUAUUGAGAAUAACUGUAAAAUCUGUACAUCCCUAAAUCAAAUGCAUGCUGUUACAUCUGGAUUAUUGAGCAAAACCAGUUAUUUCUUUACAUAAAGACGUGAUCGCAAAUGCUUUUAGCUGCACUAGUUUGAUUUAAUGAGUUGUAGCAUUGGCAUUCUUCAUUUAGAGCCAAACACUGUGGGAUGAAGAGCCCGGUGCAUUAUGGGAUGCUUGUCCAUAUCAGCGUCAAAUUUCCGAAGCCAAUCUUGAUGGGAGUGAUAGUUAAUAUUUUGAUUGUAAUCAGAGUCCACAUAGGUAUCCAAAUAUAACUUACUGUAUGAUUUGAUCUAACUUAACAUUACCACAUAAUUGAAUUACAGGGAAUUCUCUGGAAGUCUUCAUAUUGCUAUAAUGUUCCCAUAACAUUAUCACGCAAUAAGCUGCACGUUAUUCAACAUGUUACACCUGGAACAGUGUAACUUGAUUUUGUUUGCAAAGUCAAACAAGCUUAAUUAGUGCUUGAUUUUAAGGGUAAAAGUCCUAGCCUAGCAGCCACUUAGCUAAGCUAGCAUCGUGUUAGAAAACGCUGUAGACUCUGAAGUAGCUUGAACGGUGUUUAUUAUAUUAUAAUAACCGGAGAGCUUGAAAGCGUAUGGUUAACUGUACUUUAUAAAGCUUUUGGAACCCAAAAGAAAUGGCUUUAGCACUGAUUUCGUUUUAAGGACCAGUGGUUUGUAAAAAUACGCGAACAUGUGGACACGGCUAAUUGCGAAACGAACAAAGAAGUGGCGCGUUAAAUAAUAGCAUGUCGUUGCUAAUGAACGGAGCCGCGAGCUAGCCACUACUAGCAAAGCAUGUGGGGCAAAGAAUAUGUUUUUUCAUCCUUAGCCUGACUAAUUAUACGAAAAUAACAGCCGAGAUGGAACAGCAUAGCUUUUCUUCAGAAAGAAGGAGGAUUUUUGCUUAGCUUGGCAUUUGAAACGGCUUCUCGAUAUUUGACACCUCCGCGAGGUCUUUUGCCAAACUGAACCGUGUCCCAGAGCACAAAUACAGCUCUGAGCACCUGGGUGUCUUGAUGCUUGACAAGAAACAGACCACAGCCUAAAAAACCCUUCAGCGACCCUCUGUUUCUUUAAACAGGUGAUCCCGGGACAGGCCGUGUCUAAAGUGAUGUUGAGAACCCCUUCAGUAGAUUUACUAGACUGAGAGAUUAAAGAGCAAAACACCUAACGCUGUUUGCAUUUUGGUCACUUUAUAAAGCAAUGCAUGUAAAUAUGUAAUGUUUAUUUGUAAUUUAUUAUUUGAACCUUUCAAGUCAAACAUUUUUA